GCCAGGCAGAAGCGUGGAGAGCAGCCCGCCUUGCCACCUCUGCUACUGCCAUGGUGCGGAAUCUGCUGCUGGGCACCUUCGACUCGGAGACUUUGCUGCAACCUGAAUGGUGAAAAGCCAACCAGAGGGGAUGGGGAGCAGCUGGUCGCGUUUAUUAGGCAUUGGAGACUGCAUAAGAUGCUACAUUGAAGAAGUGGCCGGCAGCCACCCGAGG